GGCGGACGGGUGAGUAACGCGUAGGAAUCUACCUAAUGGUGGGGGAUAGCCCAGGGAAACUUGGAUUAAUACCGCAUAAGUCCUAAGGGAGAAAGCGGGGGAUCUUCGGACCUCGUGCCAUUAGAUGAGCCUGCGUAAGAUUAGCUAGUUGGUGAGGUAAGAGCUCACCAAGGCGACGAUCUUUAGCUGGUCUGAGAGGAUGAUCAGCCACACUGGGACUGAGACACGGCCCAGACUCCUACGGGAGGCAGCAGUGGGGAAUAUUGGACAAUGGGGGCAACCCUGAUCCAGCCAUGCCGCGUGUGUGAAGAACGCCUUCGGGUUGUAAAGCACUUUCAGAUGUGAGGAAAGGUUGCAGAUUAAUACUCUGUAGCUGUGACGUUAACAUCAGAAGAAGGACCGGCUAACUCCGUGCCAGCAGCCGCGGUAAUACGGAGGGUCCGAGCGUUAAUCGGAAUUACUGGGCGUAAAGCGCGC
rnacentral:rRNA from 1 species